UCAACGCCGGGACGGGACGAGUGUUUCAUGUGGUCUCAUCUUUGGACUGAUACUGCAUACAUUUCUCAGCAGCUCCGGAGAUGAGGAUGUUUCCCACCUGCACCUGUGUCUGGAUGGACUGAAGACUUCAUCUGUCCUGCAGCUGAGCACCACCAUCUAGUGUCACUGUAAGAGUUUUUUUUAAAACUACAUUAUUUUAUUCUGUUGUUGGAAGAAAUUGUUCAAGUGCAGCA
rnacentral:lncRNA from 1 species